AUCUGCAAUCAACGAGAUCGAUUCAGGACACGUUUGCGAGAGACGGAAGAAGAGGUAAGGCAAUUGAAAGAGAAGAUAGGGAUCUUAACGGCAGAGCUGGAGAAGNNNNNNNNNNNNUCAAACUAUAUGGCAAGAUACGUUAUGUCCAGGAUUACAAUCUUGAGAAAGUAGUUUCUAGGGGAUCUAAGAAGCAAGCAGAGGAUUUGGAAAGUGGCUUCAGCUCAGACGUUGAGUCCAAGUACAAGAAGAUAUAUGAAGAUGAUAUAAAUCCAUUUGCUGCGUUUUCGAAGAAGGAAAGAGAUCAAAGAUACAAGGAAUUAGGUUUCAGGGACAGAAUCACACUUAGUAGUGGACGUUUCCUUCUGGGCAACAAGUAUGCUCGAGCUUUUGCAUUUUUCUACACCAUUGGGCAACAUAUCCUCGUGUUCACCUGUCUCUACAGGAUGUCAGCUCUGAGCUAUCUGAGUAAUGGCGAGGAAUCAUUUACUGGAGAUAAAAUGCAGAACCUCCCACAUUCACUCUAGUUUACAUUUGUACUAAUCUUCUCUGGUUUCUGCUUAUAAAAUGAAAGAAGUGUCAAAACUAUGAAUAGAAAGGCCAUACAAUGUACAUAAAACUAAGAGUUGC
rnacentral:misc_RNA from 1 species